rnacentral:rRNA from 1 species
CUCAUCUGAGACGGAUUGAGAGUUGGCAUCGACCAGAGGGAAAAGGAGCAAUCCGCUUUGAUAUGGCCUCGCGUCCGAUUAGCUAGUUGGUGAGGUAACGGCCCACCAAGGCGACGAUCGGUAGCCGGACUGAGAGGUUGAACGGCCACAUUGGGACUGAGACACGGCCCAGACUCCUACGGGAGGCAGCAGUGGGGAAUAUUGCACAAUGGGGGAAACCCUGAUGCAGCGACGCCGCGUGGAGGAAGAAGGUCUUCGGAUUGUAAACUCCUGUUGUUGAGGAAGAUAAUGACGGUACUCAACAAGGAAGUGACGGCUAACUACGUGCCAGCAGCCGCGGUAAAACGUAGGUCACAAGCGUUGUCCGGAAUUACUGGGUGUAAAGGGAGCGCAGGCGGGAAGACAAGUUGGAAGUGAAAUCUAUGGGCUCAACCCAUAAACUGCUUUCAAAACUGUUUUUCUUGAGUAGUGCAGAGGUAGGCGGAAUUCCCGGUGUAGCGGUGGAAUGCGUAGAUAUCGGGAGGAACACCAGUGGCGAAGGCGGCCUACUGGGCACCAACUGACGCUGAGGCUCGAAAGUGUGGGUAGCAAACAGGAUUAGAUACCCUGGUAGUCCACACCGUAAACGAUGAUUACUAGGUGUUGGAGGAUUGACCCCUUCAGUGCCGCAGUUAACACAAUAAGUAAUCCACCUGGGGAGUACGACCGCAAGGUUGAAACUCAAAGGAAUUGACGGGGGCCCGCACAAGCAGUGGAGUAUGUGGUUUAAUUCGAAGCAACGCGAAGAACCUUACCAGGUCUUGAUAUCCAACUAACGAAGUAGAGAUACAUUAGGUGCCCUUCGGGGAAAGUUGAGACAGGUGGUGCAUGGUUGUCGUCAGCUCGUGUCGUGAGAUGUUGGGUUAAGUCCCGCAACGAGCGCAACCCUUGCUAUUAGUUGCUACGCAAGAGCACUCUAAUAGGACUGCCGUUGACAAAACGGAGGAAGGUGGGGACGACGUCAAAUCAUCAUGCCCCUUAUGACCUGGGCUACACACGUACUACAAUGGAUGUUAACAGAGGGAAGCAAGACAGUGAUGUGGAGCAAACCCCUAAAAACAUUCUCAGUUCAGAUUGCAGGCUGCAACCCGCCUGCAUGAAGAUGGAAUUGCUAGUAAUCGCGGAUCAGAAUGCCGCGGUGAAUACGUUCCCGGGCCUUGUACACACCGCCCGUCACACCAUGGGAGCCGGUAAUACCCUAGCCUUAACAUCCGUCUCAGAUGAG